rnacentral:rRNA from 1 species
AACGUAGGACGCAAGCGUUAUCCGGAGUUACUGGGCGUAAAGCGCGGGCAGGCGGUUACCUAAGUCUGAUGUGAAAGCGCCCGGCUCAACCGGGCGAGGCCAUUGGAAACUAGGCAACUGGAGGGCAGUAGAGGCAGGCGGAAUUCCGGGUGGAGUGGUGAAAUGCGUAGAGAUCCGGAGGAACACCAGAGGCGAAGGCGGCCUGCUGGGCUGCACCUGACGCUGAGCCGCGAAAGCCAGGGGAGCGAACGGG